GGGUUGCGGACAGUGUCUGGUGGGUAGUUUGACUGGGGCGGUCUCCUCCUAAAGAGUAACGGAGGAGCACGAAGGUUGGCUAAUCCUGGUCGGACAUCAGGAGGUUAGUGCAAUGGCAUAAGCCAGCUUGACUGCGAGCGUGACGGCGCGAGCAGGUGCGAAAGCAGGUCAUAGUGAUCCGGUGGUUCUGAAUGGAAGGGCCAUCGCUCAACGGAUAAAAGGUACUCCGGGGAUAACAGGCUGAUACCGCCCAAGAGUUCAUAUCGACGGCGGUGUUUGGCACCUCGAUGUCGGCUCAUCACAUCCUGGGGCUGAAGUAGGUCCCAAGGGUAUGGCUGUUCGCCAUUUAAAGUGGUACGCGAGCUGGGUUUAGAACGUCGUGAGACAGUUCGGUCCCUAUCUGCCGUGGGCGCUGGAGAACUGAGGGGGGCUGCUCCUAGUACGAGAGGACCGGAGUGGACGCAUCACUGGUGUUCGGGUUGUCAUGCCAAUGGCACUGCCCGGUAGCUAAAUGCGGAAGAGAUAAGUGCUGAAAGCAUCUAAGCACGAAACUUGCCCCGAGAUGAGUUCUCCCUGACUCCUUGAGAGUCCUGAAGGAACGUUGAAGACGACGACGUUGAUAGGCCGGGUGUGUAAGCGCAGCGAUGCGUUGAGCUAACCGGUACUAAUGAACCGUGAGGCUUAACCUUACAACGCCGAAGCUGUU
rnacentral:rRNA from 1 species